AGAGUUUGAUCAUGGCUCAGGACGAACGCUGGCGGCGUGCCUAAUACAUGCAAGUUGAACGAUGAUUUCUGGUACUUGUAUCAGAAUGAAGAGUAGCGAACGGGUGAGUAACGCGUGGGUAACCUACCUCUUAGCGGGGGACAACUAUUGGAAACGAUAGCUAAUACCGCAUAACAAUGCUUAACACAUGUUGAGUAUUUGAAAGUACCAAUUGGUACACUAGGAGAUGGACCCGCGUUGUAUUAGCUAGUUGGUAGUGUAAUGGACUACCAAGGCGAUGAUACAUAGCCGACCUGAGAGGGUGAUCGGCCACAUUGGGACUGAGACACGGCCCAAACUCCUACGGGAGGCAGCAGUAGGGAAUCUUCGGCAAUGGACGAAAGUCUGACCGAGCAACGCCGCGUGAGUGAAGAAGGUUUUCGGAUCGUAAAACUCUGUUGUUAGAGAAGAACGUUGUGUAGAGUGGAAAAUUACACAAGUGACGGUAUCUAACCAGAAAGGGACGGCUAACUACGUGCCAGCAGCCGCGGUAAUACGUAGGUCCCGAGCGUUGUCCGGAUUUAUUGGGCGUAAAGCGAGCGCAGGUUGUUUAAUAAGUCUGAUGUAAAAGGCAGUGGCUCAACCAUUGUGUGCAUUGGAAACUGUUAGACUUGAGUGCAGUAGAGGAGAGUGGAAUUCCAUGUGUAGCGGUGAAAUGCGUAGAUAUAUGGAGGAACACCGGUGGCGAAAGCGGCUCUCUGGACUGUAACUGACACUGAGGCUCGAAAGCGUGGGUAGCAAACAGGAUUAGAUACCCUGGUAGUCCACGCCGUAAACGAUGAGUGCUAGUUGUUUGGGGCUAUCCAGCCCUAAGUGACGCAGCAAACGCAUUAAGCACUCCGCCUGGGGAGUACGACCGCAAGGUUGAAACUCAAAGGAAUUGACGGGGCCCGCACAAGCGGUGGAGCAUGUGGAUUAAUUCGAAGCACGCGAAGAACCUUACCAGGUCUGACAUACCAGUGCUAUUCUUAGAGAUAAGAAGGUACUCGUACACUGAUACAGGCGGAUGCAUGAUGGUCGGUCAGCUCGUGUCUGAAAUGUGGUUUAGUUCCGCACGAGCGCCACCCCUAUUGCUAGUUGCAUCAUAGUUGGCCCUUAGCGAACUGCCGGUUUAUAAACUGGAAGAAAGGUGGGGGAAUAAACGAC
rnacentral:rRNA from 1 species